rnacentral:rRNA from 1 species
CAGCAGCCGCGGGAAUACGAAGGGUGCAAGCGUUAAUCGGAAUUACUGGGCGUAAAGCGUGCGUAGGCGGUGAGUUAAGUCUGCUGUGAAAUCCCCGGGCUCAACCUGGGGAUUGCAGUGGAUACUGGAUCACUAGAGUGUGGUAGAGGAUAGCGGAAUUUCCGGUGUAGCAGUGAAAUGCGUAGAGAUCGGGAGGAACAUCAGUGGCGAAGGCGGCCAUCUGGGACAGCACUGACGCUGAGGCACGAAAGCGUGGGGAGCAAACAGGAUUAGAUACCCCGGUAGUCCCUGUCUCUUAUAC